UUUUAGUCUAUUAUGAUGCUGCUCAGGCGCUUGAAUAGAAAGUAUUGUAGGAUACUUGUACUGUGCUCGGUUUAACACUCAAGAAUUUGGACUGUUUUAGCAUUAGUUUAAUUUUACUUCUCUAUGGUCAGAGUAUGUCCACCAUAUGAUAAUUCCAUUGUUUCACCCAGGCUCAGCUAAAAUAUUUUUUCAACCCGUGAUAGGGAAGCAGCCUUUGUUUGAUAUCCAUAUUAAUUCAAUUGUAAGUUCCUUUAUAAAACCGUCGUAUACUUUAUCUGGUAUUUGGAUGAACGAACAUGUAUUUUGAAAUAUACUACUUGUACAUAAUGCGAUGUUCAUAAUGGUGUCCACCCCCCUCACAUGGAGGAGGAUCCACUUCGGAUAAAUUAUAUUUUAUUCGAAAUGGGUCCUUCUUUAUGUGAGUAAGGUGGACACCGUUAUAGACACCCAGAUGUACGUAUAGCAUAACCCAUGUAUUUUUAUAUAGAGGACUCUUUGUUGCAUUGUAGAGCAUGGCAUAUUAUACAAGAAUGUAGACUAAACCUGCAGAUAUAGGUACGAAGAUACAAAAGAUUAAGAUACACAAAGUUCAAUUCUACUUUUGCGUUUUUCUUAAAUUAUAUUUGAUAUUCUGCCCUUUUUUUGUGUGUUGCUUUCACAUAAAGGUGUAAUGUUGCCCCGAUUGGCCCACAUUCGAGGUGGCUCGCACCAUGGCCCGAUACUGCCCGAAUCCUUCUUCCAAACCAAGUAGAUAGGUGUGUAGGAAAUAGAAGUGAACUUAG
rnacentral:lncRNA from 1 species